rnacentral:rRNA from 1 species
AUUGAACGCUGGCGGCAUGCUUUACACAUGCAAGUCGAACGGCAGCACGGACUUCGGUCUGGUGGCGAGUGGCGAACGGGUGAGUAAUACAUCGGAACGUACCCAGUAAUGGGGGAUAACUAUCCGAAAGGAUAGCUAAUACCGCAUACGCCCUACGGGGGAAAGAGGGGGAUCGCAAGACCUCUUGUUAUUGGAGCGGCCGAUGGCUGAUUAGCUAGUUGGUGGGGUAAAGGCCUACCAAGGCAACGAUCAGUAGCGGGUCUUAGAGGACGAUCCGCCACACUGGAGCUGAGACACGGUCCAGACUCCUACGGGAGGCAGCAGGGGGGAAUCUUGGACAAUGGGCGCAAGCCUGAUCCAGCAAUGCCGCGUGCGUGAAGAAGGCCUUCGGGUUGUAAAGCGCUUUUGUCAGGGAGCAAAUCCUUGUGGCUAAUACCCACCGGGGAUGAGAGUACCUGAAGAAUAAGGACCGGCUAACUACGUGCCAGCAGCCGCGGUAAGAC